rnacentral:misc_RNA from 1 species
CUUGGUCAUUUAGAGGAAGUAAAAGUCGUAACAAGGUCUCCGUUGGUGAACCAGCGGAGGGAUCAUUACCGAGUUUACAACUCCCAAACCCCUGUGAACAUACCUUUAUGUUGCCUCGGCGGAUCAGCCCGCGCCCCGUAAAACGGGACGGCCCGCCGCAGGAACCACAAAACUCUGAUUUUAGUGUAACUUCUGAGUCUAAAAAACAAAUAAAUCAAAACUUUCAACAACGGAUCUCUUGGUUCUGGCAUCGAUGAAGAACGCAGCAAAAUGCGAUAAGUAAUGUGAAUUGCAGAAUUCAGUGAAUCAUCGAAUCUUUGAACGCACAUUGCGCCCGCCAGUAUUCUGGCGGGCAUGCCUGUUCGAGCGUCAUUUCAACCCUCAAGCCCCCGGGUUUGGUGUUGGGGAUCGGGCUGUACUCCAGCCCGGCCCCGAAAUCUAGUGGCGGUCUCGCUGCAGCCUCCAUUGCGUAGUAGCUAACACCUCGCAACUGGAACGCGGCGCGGCCAAGCCGUUAAACCCCCAACUUCUGAAUGUUGACCUCGGAUCAGGUAGGAAUACCCGCUGAACUUAAGCAUAUCAAUAAGCGGAGGA